rnacentral:misc_RNA from 1 species
AAGUCGUAACAAGGUUUCCGUAGGUGAACCUGCGGAAGGAUCAUUACAGAAUUUUGAGAGGGGUUGUAGCUGGCCGGAAGGCAUGUGCACGCCUCGAUCAUCAUCCAUCUCACACCUGUGCACAUACUGUAGGUCGGUUUGUGGGGUGAAGUCUUCAUUGAUUUCGCUCUGUGGGCCUUCCUAUGUUUUAUUACAAACUACUAGUUUCAAGAAUGUCUAUUGCGUGUAACGCAUUUAUAUACAACUUUCAGCAACGGAUCUCUUGGCUCUC